rnacentral:lncRNA from 1 species
CUUGUCUUGUUACUGCUCUUUUCAUGGUGUCUGCUUCUUAAAGGGUUUAUAAUCUCAUAAUCAAUCAAUCUUAAAUUGUGAAAAUCCUGAGGAUGUUUUACUCCAGAGGUUCUGUGUUUUCUUCUCUUAGGGACAGAAAGUGACUCUGACCCAGGACAUUUAGGAGUCUAGAUUGACAUGGUGGUCAAGGGCAUUCAGAUUCAGUCUCCACCUGUGGUACCCUGGAGACUAAUCAUGACACUCCUAAACCCUAUUUCACAUGUAUCAAGUUCUGUUAAUUCUACUUUGACAGCAUCUUGCCUAAGAAAAUUCAUUGUUCUGCUGAUGCCCUCAUUCAGGCCCUUGUUCCCUCUCCCUGGAGUAUUAGUAUUUAGGCCUCCCAACUCUCUCUUCCUUAAUUCUUUCCCCCCAAUCAAUUCUGCAGUUGACUGCCUGUUUUUCUGGAACACAGUUCUGAUUUGCAUAAUGUAAAACCUGUAGGUUUGUAUAGUUUGUCACCUUUCUGAAAUACUCCCUCGUGCCUUGCUGAUCCUUUGUGGGAAUGGUGGGGGAACAUUUCUGCUCAUUUUGUGCCUUCAGAGCAAAUUCAGGAUCCCAGUCCUGCCUUUCAGUGCUUCUGUAUGAGCUCUCUCCAUCUUUAAAACCAUCACCUGCUAAUCCCUUGCAUGCACCUAUGGUCCAUGCUCAGAUUUAUUUUUUCUCUUCCUUGCCUUGGUGCCUCUGAUGAGAAGGUCCAGCCAUCACCAUUUCCCCUGGCCUUACCUUUCCUUCAAGGUCUGGCUCAGACUCUUCUAAGACACCUUUGUACUCCUCAGCCCAGCCUGCUCUCUCAGAAGGAGAGAAUCAGAAGAGGUGUGGGAGUUUGCAAUCAAGUCAGGAAUAAACAAG